rnacentral:lncRNA from 1 species
GGAGGAAGGGCGAGAUCCGUAAAGCCAGAGUUGGAAAGGGACGGAGGGGCGGGGCCCCGGGAAACAGAAGGGGCCGGCCUAUCGGUGGGUAGGGCUGGGGAGGGAGGCUGAGCGAGUUCGGUACACACAGGUUACACGUGUUCGACUGAGUAAUAUAGGGGAGAAAAAAAAGAAGGAAAGAGAAUCCUUACAGGUGCCUGAAGCAGUCGAGACCAAAAAGGGACAUUAGUCUUCUUCUGCACUUGGACUGAAACUUACACCAUCAGCUCUCCUGGUUCUCAGGCCUUCAGACUUGGACACAAACUAUACCACUGGCUAUCCUGGGCCUCCAGUUUGCAGACAGCAGAUUGUGGGACAUCUCAGCUUCCAUAAUUGCAUGAGCCAAUUAGUUAUUUAUUUAUAAUAAAUUAAUAUAUAAUCAAAU